rnacentral:rRNA from 1 species
AUGCGAGUUGCGCGAGAAUGUAGCAAUACAGGACAGCGGCGAAAGGGAGAGGACAACAUGGGAAUCUGCCCUGGGGACGAGGAUAGCGUCGGGAAACUGACAGUAAUACUCGAUAAUGUUUGCGGACCAAAGGUGUAAUUCCGCCCCAGGAUGAGCCCGUGCCCCAUUAGCUUGUUGGCAGGGUAACGGCCUACCAAGGCUAUGAUGGGUAGCUGGUGUGAGAGCACGACCAGCCUCACUGGCACUGAGACACUGGCCAGACACCUACGGGUGGCUGCAGUCGAGAAUCUUUGGCAAUGGACGAAAGUCUGACCAAGCGACGCCGCGUGCGGGACGAAGGCCUUCGGGUUGUAAACCGCUGUCGUAGGAAAUCAAAUGUACGGGGGUUCUCCCCUGUAUUUGAGAGAUCCUAGGAGGAAGGAGAGGCUAAGCUCGUGCCAGCAGCCGCGGUAAGACGAGCUCUCCAAACGUUAUUCGGUAUCACUGGGCUUAAAGAGUUCGUAGGCGGCCUAGCAGGUCAGGUGUGAAAUCCCACAGCUCAACUGUGGAAUAGCGCUUGAAACCGUUAGGCUUGAGGGAGAUAGAGGUAGGCGGAACAGAUGGUGGAGCGGUGAAAUGCGUUGAUAUCAUCUGGAACACCGGUGGCGAAAGCGGCCUACUGGGUCUUUUCUGACGCUGAGGAACGAAAGCUAGGGUAGCGAACGGGAUUAGAUACCCCGGUAGUCCUAGCCGUAAACGAUGAGCACUAGUCCGAGGGAACCCUCACAUUUUCUCGGACGUAGCGAAAGUGUUAAGUGCUCCGCCUGGGGAGUACGGCCGCAAGGCUAAAACUCAAAGGAAUUGACGGGGGC